CGUCGCCCCCCAAAAAAAGUCUGUUCAAGGUGGGAAACUUUUUGGAAAGCCACCCAAACUAAGCCCUUCUCCUUUCCCAAAAGGGAAGAGGCCACGAGAUUGCCAGGGCUGGGCUCGUUGGAAAAGCGGCCCCCCCCGCCUCCCAAGUGGGUUUUAACGGUUCCCAAAACAAAGCACCGCCGGCUUGGCUCCAAAUUUAAACCUAAAGUUUCGGAGUCCAAGGGACGGGGAAGAAGCCGGGACCGGCCCUUGCUCCAGGGUCGCCGCCGCCUCCCUCCGUCCGGCAAGAGGGCAGCCGCCCCGGGAAGCAUCUCUCUCGCUCUCUCUCUCCGGAGCAGGAAGCCUGCCGGCGGGUGUGGCCCGACGGCGCGCCGGAGGAAGAGGAAGGCGGCGCCUGGGGUUUGCGGGGAUCGCUCCCGAAAUCGCGUGUCUUGGGGGCACGUGUGGACGCAGCUCACCUCUUUCCCGCGGCUCCCCUCCUUCCUUCCUUCCUUCCUUGGUUCCUCCCUGGCCGCCCCGAUCAGGGCGCCGCGCUCGGCGUCUCCCCUGCCUCCGCGGCCCGGGCGUGGGCCGGCAUCCGAGCCGAGCGGCGCCUCCCUCCCUCCCUUGGCUCGCCCGCCGGGGGGGUGGUGGAAGCCUUCAAGCGCUGGGGGCGCGCCACGAGCAGGACGGCCCGGGGCUUUGGCAGCGGCGGUGGGGCUGCCGGCCGGCCCUUCUUCCCUCCUCGCCUCCUGCCAUCUUCCUCUCGCCGGCUGGAUCUCCGCGCCUGGGCAGGGCGCAAGAGGAGGAGGAGGAGGAGGAGGCAGGGAAGGGAAAAGGAAGGGAAGGCGGGCCGGCGGCGGCGGCGGCGGCUGGGCGAGCCCUCGCCCGCGAUCGGGUCUCCUCCAACUUGGGCAGAGGGAGAGAAGAGAAACAGAAACUCCGAAGGCGCGCCGGGCGCCUUGGAACUGCGGGGGGGGGGAGACCGCCGCUACUGCAGGGCGAGGAGGAAGGGCGGGCCCCGACGGCACCGAGGCUGCUUGGGGGGCGUUCCCCGUCCCCUCCCUCCUCCCCCUCCCCUCCCUCCGGGGCCGCCCCCCUGCCCGGGCUGGCUGGCUGACACUCCCUUCCCUUUUCCCUUCUCCUCCCCGCCGCCGUCACGGCGCGCUCCGCCUCUGGUGCGCCCGCGGUUGGAGAGGCUGCCCUCUUCUCUCUCUCUCCCUCCCCCCGUGGGGAUCGGGGCGCCCUAAGGCUCCUCCUCCUCCUCUCCGGGAAGACCAGGAAGGGGAAGGAGAUGAUGAUGAGGAUGGUGGGAACGCCGCCGGCCCCGAGGAGCGAGGCUUCGCCGCCGCGGGGCGAGGGCGCGCUUUACGCACAGAUGCGCUCCGGCCGCUUGGCGCACGGCCGCCGGAGGGAACCCGAGAUUUUUUUUAA
rnacentral:lncRNA from 1 species